AACGAACGCUGGCGGCAGGCCUAACACAUGCAAGUCGAGCGAGCAUUUCGGUGCUAGCGGCGGACGGGUGAGUAACGCGUGGGAACGUGCCCUUUUCUGCGGAAUAGUCCUGGGAAACUGGGGGUAAUACCGCAUACGCCCUUUUGGGGAAAGAUUUAUCGGAGAAGGAUCGGCCCGCGUUGGAUUAGGUAGUUGGUGGGGUAAUGGCCCACCAAGCCGUCGAUCCAUAGCUGGUUUGAGAGGAUGAUCAGCCACACUGGGACUGAGACACGGCCCAGACUCCUACGGGAGGCAGCAGUGGGGAAUCUUAGACAAUGGGGGCAACCCUGAUCCAGCCAUGCCGCGUGAGUGAUGAAGGCCUUAGGGUUGUAAAGCUCUUUCAGCUGGGAAGAUAAUGACGGUACCAGCAGAAGAAGCCCCGGCUAACUUCGUG
rnacentral:rRNA from 1 species